rnacentral:rRNA from 1 species
UACCCUGUUAUUUAAAGUGUGAUGUUGUUAUUUAAGUAGUAUGAGUUAUGUUCUUGAAACUUAAAAAAUUUGGCGGUAUUUUAGUCUAUUCAGAGGAACCUGUUUUAUAAUUGAUAUUCCACAUUGUACCUUACUUAAUUUAGUUUUUCAAUUUAUAUACCGUCGUUAUAAGAAAAUUUUAUAAGAAUAUUAAUUUUCUUAAAUUUUUAUAUAAAUUUAUAUCAGAUCAAGGUGUAGUUUAUAGUUAAGUAAAAAUGGGUUACAAUAAAUUUAUUUAAAUGGAGGUAAUUAUGAAAAAAUUAUUGAAAGUGGAUUUGAUAGUAAAUUUAUACAGAUUAAUAAAUUGAUUUUAGCUCUAAAAUAUGUACAAAUCGCCCG